UGCCAGAGAAUUCAGGCCCUUCAGAGCCAGCUGAGAUGUGCUGAAUGCUAAGUGAUUCCUCAUCUGAUUCCUUGCUCCAGAAUACAGGGACUUGAAGACAGACUACAUUUUUCCUAAGCGAGACAAUUUGGUCUCAAGGGAAACCAAACUGUAGCACAGAAUGUGAGAGAGAGCAACAAUAGGAUGGAAUGCAUAAAAUCCUUCCCCAGAGCAAGCUUCUCCCACUUCUUGAAAGGCUUUAUUUUUAUAUAGCCUCUGGAAGCCAGACAAAGUAUCACUUAGAAAGCAAGCCUCACAGGGCAGCUCUGGAGAGAUCUGAGGGCUGCGUUCAUAAGUUCAGAAAGAACAAAGUUUAUGCUUUAGGCCGCUAGACCGUAAGCUCUUUGAGUUCAAUUUUUAUCUUCAUUGUAUUUCAAGAACUGUGCAAGUAUCUGGUACCUGGAAUAUGCUCAAUAAAUGUUUGAAUAAAGAUUAAAAACCCUGAAUGGAUUGAUA
rnacentral:sRNA from 1 species